GAACCAUCUGAAAUAUUUUUUCACAGACGCCAUUUUCUUUGCUCACGAUGCGGCUCAUAUGAGAAUGGAAUUCAGCGAAAUAAAUUGUAUAAUCUUAGUCAUAAAAUGUGUUUUGUAAUAUCAUAUCGUUUUAUAACGACAUUUAUUUGCUGUGUGCACAAACGUUUCUCAAGGACAUUUCCUUUCACUCACGAUGCGGAACAUACGAGGACGUCAUUUACUCCAAAACUUUUUUCUCAAGAGAGAUAUUUUCUUCCACUCACGAUGGGGAAAAUGUGGGGAAUCUGUUUCUUAUCAAAGGAAAACACCAUAAGUAAGUGUUUUACCUCGUUAACAUGUAUUUUAUAAGAUGAUAUUUCUUUAUGGUGAUAUUUAAAUGCUGUGCGCGCCUAAACGAGCCUAACCAUCUCUCACAGAUUUGAAUUGCUAUGCAGUGCAGACCAUGAUGCAGACGCGGGUUACUUAGAGAAGGGAGAGACCAGAAAGAGAUCUUUUCUUUCACUCGCGAAGCGGAGCAGACGGGGAAGUUGGUUUAAACAAGGAAAACACCGAAAACAGAGCCCUGCCUCAGCACAAUGAGAUCAGCAUGGAAUUCAGGAAUCACAACCUAUUUUCCAGUAAGUCAGACUUUCUUUUUACGACAAAAAUAUAUACAUUUACAGUGAGUUAAAUGCUUUUACUUAAAGGGUUAUAGUUUCUCACUGC